AGAAUCCGCAACGUCCUUCCCCGGGCGUAGCAAGCGGAAGGCAAGAACUAGGACAGCACGCGGGGAGGUGGCAGAUCAUUCCUGCACUAUUCGGCCUUAUUUUACGUAGCAUAAUGUUUUCAAGGCUCAUCCAUGUAGUAGCAGCAGAUGAUGUGGCUUGGAGACAUUCCAGACAGACACAGCUAAAUGACAAUGGGCAAAGCAGGAGCACAUCUCUGCAACACGUAUGACAAACAAAAUGUUGUUAUUCUUGGUUUUUAGGAAG